AGUGAACGCUGGCGGUAGGCCUAACACAUACAAGUCGAACGGCAGCACAGGAGAGCUUGCUCUCUGGGUGGCGAGUGGCGGACGGGUGAGGAAUACAUCGGAAUCUACUCUGUCGUGGGGGAUAACGUAGGGAAACUUACGCUAAUACCGCAUACGACCUACGGGUGAAAGCAGGGGAUCUUCGGACCUUGCGCGAUUGAAUGAGCCGAUGUCGGAUUAGCUAGUUGGCGGGGUAAAGGCCCACCAAGGCGACGAUCCGUAGCUGGUCUGAGAGGAUGAUCAGCCACGCUGGAACUGAGACACGGUCCAGACUCCUACGGGAGGCAGCAGUGGGGAAUAUUGGACAAUGGGCGCAAGCCUGAUCCAGCCAUACCGCGUGGGUGAAGAAGGCCUUCGGGUUGUAAAGCCCUUUUGUUGGGAAAGAAAUCCAGCUGGCUAAUACCCGGUUGGGAUGACGGUACCCAAAGAAUAAGCACCGGCUAACUUCGUGCCAGCCGCCGCGGUAA
rnacentral:rRNA from 1 species